GAUGAACGCUGGCGGCGUGCCUAAUACAUGCAAGUCGAGCGAACGGACGAGAAGCUUGCUUCUCUGAUGUUAGCGGCGGACGGGUGAGUAACACGUGGAUAACCUACCUAUAAGACUGGGAUAACUUCGGGAAACCGGAGCUAAUACCGGAUAAUAUUUUGAACCGCAUGGUUCAAAAGUGAAAGACGGUCUUGCUGUCACUUAUAGAUGGAUCCGCGCUGCAUUAGCUAGUUGGUAAGGUAACGGCUUACCAAGGCAACGAUGCAUAGCCGACCUGAGAGGGCGAUCGGCCACACUGGAACUGAGACACGGUCCAGACUCCUACGGGAGGCAGCAGUAGGGAAUCUUCCGCAAUGGGCGAAAGCCUGACGGAGCAACGCCGCGUGAGUGAUGAAGGUCUUCGGAUCGUAAAACUCUGUUAUUAGGGAAGAACAUAUGCGUAAGUAACUGUGCACAUCUUGACGGUACCUAAUCAGAAAGCCACGGCUAACUACGUGCCAGCAGCCGCGGUAAUACGUAGGUGGCAAGCGUUAUCCGGAAUUAUUGGGCGUAAAGCGCGCGUAGGGCGGUUUUUUAAGUCUGAUGUGAAAGCCCACGGCUCAACCGUGGAGGGUCACUGGAAACUGGAAAACUUGAGUGCAGAAGAGGAAAGUGGAAUCCCAUGUGUAGCGGUGAAAUGCGCAGAGAUAUGGAGGAACACCAGUGGCGAAGGCGACUUUCUGGUCUGUAACUGACGCUGAUGUGCGAAAGCGUGGGGAUCAAACAGGAUUAGAUACCCUGGUAGUCCACGCCGUAAACGAUGAGUGCUAAGUGUUAGGGGGUUUCCGCCCCUUAGUGCUGCAGCUAACGCAUUAAGCACUCCGCCUGGGGAGUACGACCGCAAGGUUGAAACUCAAAGGAAUUGAUGGGGACCCGCACAAGCGGUGGAGCAUGUGGUUUAAUUCGAAGCAACGCGAAGAACCUUACCAAAUCUUGACAUCCUUUGACAACUCUAGAGAUAGAGCCUUCCCCUUCGGGGGACAAAGUGACAGGUGGUGCAUGGUUGUCGUCAGCUCGUGUCGUGAGAUGUUGGGUUAAGUCCCGCAACGAGCGCAACCCUUAAGCUUAGUUGCCAUCAUUAAGUUGGGCACUCUAAGUUGACUGCCGGUGACAAACCGGAGGAAGGUGGGGAUGACGUCAAAUCAUCAUGCCCCUUAUGAUUUGGGCUACACACGUGCUACAAUGGACAAUACAAAGGGCAGCGAAACCGCGAGGUCAAGCAAAUCCCAUAAAGUUGUUCUCAGUUCGGAUUGUAGUCUGCAACUCGACUACAUGAAGCUGGAAUCGCUAGUAAUCGUAGAUCAGCAUGCUACGGUGAAUACGUUCCCGGGUCU
rnacentral:rRNA from 1 species